rnacentral:rRNA from 1 species
GCAGCCGCCGCGGGAAUACAGAGGGUGCGAGCGUUAAUCGGAUUUACUGGGCGUAAAGCGUGCGUAGGCGGCUUUUUAAGUCGGAUGUGAAAUCCCUAAGCUUAACUUAGGAAUUGCAUUCGAUACUGGGAAGCUAGAGUAUGGGAGAGGAUGGUAGAAUUCCAGGUGUAGCGGUGAAAUGCGUAGAGAUCUGGAGGAAUACCGAUGGCGAAGGCAGCCAUCUGGCCUAAUACUGACGCUGAGGUACGAAAGCAUGGGGAGCAAACAGGAUUAGAUACCCGUGUAGUCCCUGUCUCUUAUAC